GACCUGGUGACAGGAGCCAUGAGGGGCCAGGCCUCAGGUCCCACAGGGCUGGGAGCAUCCCCGGGGCAGGCGGAGGUCGGAGGUGGUGAGGCCUUUCGGCGAAGCUGAGGCCUGGAACAACCCGGUGGGAAGCCACGGAGGGGGUCCCCUAGCGGAGGCUGGGCGCGGGCCGGUGCGCGUGCGCGGCUGGAGGCUCAGCGCGCGAGCGUGCGCGUGAUUUGGCCCUGAACGGACGCCGUAGCCGAGAGGUUGGGCGGAUGUUGUGAACCGGGUCGCGGCGGCCGAGGCUCGGGUUACUCGGGAGGCUGAGGCAGGAGAAUCGCUUGAACCGGAGAGGCGGACGUUGCAGUGAGCCGAGGUCAAACCAGUGCACUCCAGCCUGGGCAACAGAGCGAGACUCCAUCUGAAAAAGAAACAAAAAGAAAAAAAAA
ensembl:lncRNA novel transcript